GGUUGGCCCGGUGGAGUUCCUGGAGGAGACGGUCCCGGCGGUGGAGGACGGCUGGGGGAUCCGGGGGUGGAGGUCCGAAGGCGGCUCGUGAUUAGACCAACCAGCUCCUCAUCCAUGGAAGGAUUGAAGGAGUCACUGAGGAUGAAGAUCACUGCUCAGGGGCUGACGACCACUCAUCUUUCCGGGGAAGCGUCCUCAUGGUGCAGGCGGUCAAACCUCCACCUCUUUGAAGAGACCAAGCAGCUUGAUGACUGACUGGUUCUUUAUACUCAAGACCUCGUCCCGGAGCAGAGGAUAGACCUAAGGCCUACAGCGCAGCAGACUAGAGACUCCAUGUGGAACCGGUUCAAUUAAGUUGACCUCUCCUUCAGGCGACUUAAAGGGAGACCAGAUGUGCGGCAGCUGGGUGUCAUGGUGCAGAGACCCAACGCUGUACUGAACUACACCAGUGUGUCCUACUCCCAUAAACCCUGAGGAUCCCUGGAUGGCUACACCAGCACAUUAAUCCACACCCAACAUCAACACACAGUGCACACUCUAUAGAGCUCGUAAGUCCGCCCCUUGCGGCGGGACCUCGUGAGAUCGUAAGAUAUGGCUGGGUUUCAAUGGAGAG